rnacentral:rRNA from 1 species
AAUGAACGUUGGCGGCAUGGAUUAGGCAUGCAAGUCGAGCGAGAAUGGUUUGGUAGCUUGCUAUUGAACCAGGACAGCGGCGAAAGGGAGAGUAACGCGUAGUUACCUACCCCAGGGUCCGGAAUAGCCACGGGAAACUGUGGGUAAUGCCGGAUAAUAUCCCCGGAUCAAAGGUGUGAUUCCGCCCUGGGAGGGGACUGCGUCCUACUAGCUAGUUGGGGGGGUAAUGGCCCACCAAGGCAACGAUGGGUAGCGGGUGUGAGAGCAUGACCCGUCUCACUGGGACUGAGACACUGCCCAGACACCUACGGGUGGCUGCAGUCGAGAAUCUUCGGCAAUGAGCGCAAGCUUGACCGAGCGAUGCCGCGUGCGGGAUGAAGGCCCUCGGGUUGUAAACCGCUGUCGUAGAGGAGGAAAUCAAUCGGGGUUCUCCCCGGUAGUUGACCUAUUCUAGGAGGAAGUACGGGCUAAGUACGUGCCAGCAGCCGCAGUAAGAC